rnacentral:rRNA from 1 species
UUUGAUCCUGGYUCWGGAUGAACGCUAGCGGCAGGCCUAAUACMUGCAAGUCSAACGGCAGCMCSAGUAGCAAUACUUGGUGGCGAGUGGCGCACGGGUGCGUAACGCGUAUGCAAUCUACCCUUGACUGGGGAAUAGCCCCSAGAAAUCGGGAUUAAUACUCCAUAACAUCAUUAAGAGGCAUYUCUUGAUGAUCAAAGUUCAGACGGUCAAGGAUGAGCAUGCGUGACAUUAGCUAGUUGGUGAGGUAACGGCUCACCAAGGCGACGAUGUCUAGGGGUUCUGAGAGGAUUAUCCCCCACACUGGUACUGAGACACGGACCAGACUCCUACGGGAGGCAGCAGUAAGGAAUAUUGGGCAAUGGACGCAAGUCUGACCCAGCCAUGCCGCGUGCAGGAUGACAGCKCUACGGGUUGUAAACUGCUUUUGUACGGGAAAAACCCYUCGGACGUGUCCGGGGCUGAUGGUACCGUAAGAAUAAGGAUCGGCUAACUCCGUGCCAGCAGCCGCGGUAAUACGGAGGAUCCAAGCGUUAUCCGGAUUCAUUGGGUUUAAAGGGUCCGCAGGCGGAUUAAUAAGUCAGGGGUGAAAUCCUACGGCUCAACCGUAGAACUGCCCUUGAUACUGUUAGUCUAGAGUACAGUUGAGGUGGGCGGAAUGUGUCAUGUAGCGGUGAAAUGCAUAGAUAUGACACAGAACACCGAUCGCGAAGGCAGCUCACCAAGCUGUAACUGACGCUAAGGGACGAAAGCGUGGGGAUCAAACAGGAUUAGAUACCCUGGUAGUCCACGCCGUAAACGAUGGUCACUCGAUGUUGGCGAUACACAGUCAGCGUCUGAGCGAAAGCAUUAAGUGACCCACCUGGGGAGUACGAUCGCAAGAUUGAAACUCAAGGAAUUGACGGGGCCCGCWCAAGCGAGGAGCAUGUGGUUUAAUUCGAUG